CGAACGGGUGAGUAACGCUGGGGAAUCUGCCUUUGAGCGGGGGACAACAUUUGGAAACGAAUGCUAAUACCGCAUAAAAACUUUAAACACAAGUUUUAAGUUUGAAAGAUGCAAUUGCAUCACUCAAAGAUGAUCCCGCGUUGUAUUAGCUAGUUGGUGAGGUAAAGGCUCACCAAGGCGAUGAUACAUAGCCGACCUGAGAGGGUGAUCGGCCACAUUGGGACUGAGACACGGCCCAAACUCCUACGGGAGGCAGCAG
rnacentral:rRNA from 1 species